rnacentral:rRNA from 1 species
GAUGAACGCUGGCGGCGUGCCUAAUACAUGCAAGUCGAGCGAACAGACGAGGAGCUUGCUCCUCUGACGUUAGCGGCGGACGGGUGAGUAACACGUGGAUAACCUACCUAUAAGACUGGGAUAACUUCGGGAAACCGGAGCUAAUACCGGAUAAUAUAUUGAACCGCAUGGUUCAAUAGUGAAAGACGGAUUUGCUGACACUUAUAGAUGGAUCCGCGCCGCAUUAGCUAGUUGGUAAGGUAACGGCUUACCAAGGCAACGAUGCGUAGCCGACCUGAGAGGGUGAUCGGCCACACUGGAACUGAGACACGGUCCAGACUCCUACGGGAGGCAGCAGUAGGGAAUCUUCCGCAAUGGGCGAAAGCCUGACGGAGCAACGCCGCGUGAGUGAUGAAGGUCUUCGGAUCGUAAAACUCUGUUAUUAGGGAAGAACAAAUGUGCAAGUAACUAUGCACGUCUUGACGGUACCUAAUCAGAAAGCCCCGGCUAACUACGUG